GCAGGUAUAGGUUAAGGGUAGACACAAUGCCUUCCAAGCAUUUAGUACUCGUUCGAAUCGAGUUAUCUGCA
rnacentral:tRNA from 1 species